CGCUGCACCUCCUCCCUGGCCGCCCCGGCCUGGAAGGCGGGCGGCGCGCCCAGCAGCUCCACAUUGGUCACGGUCUUGCCGAUGGUGAACCAGUCGUUGAUCUGCUCGAUGGUGGCGGUGUCAGACUCACAGCUGGACACAAACAGGUGCGGACAGGAGGUCCAGGCGAUCACAUGGACAAAAGAUACAGGCUGAGGUGGUCCCGGCCGAGCUCUGGAAGAGUGAGGGUGGAGAACAGAGCCCUAGCAAACUCCCCAAAAGAAGGAGCAGCGGGAAGAAAUCCAGCAAAGGAUGCACGGGAAGGCAGCUACAUGUGCAAGGGAAGGGAGGGUCAGAAGAGAGACAUGGCCACCUGCCUGGGGUAUGUCCCCCUCACUGGCCAGGGCAGGAUCUAUCUGGCCCAUGUGGGCUCUCAGGAAAGAGCCAUGUGAACAAAUACAGAGACGGUAUCGAGAGCAUGACUCUAAUCAGCAGUGUAAAGCCCAAGCAGUGGCAAAUAAGAGGGCGGUUUGAAAACAGUGUAGACAGAAAUCAGCCAGGUAGGUUGAGCUAUUGGUGUCUCAAAAAUUGAACCCAUAAUCAUACUAAGCCAGGAGUUCUGGCUCCAAAUCCUGGCCUAAUGAGCUCUAGACCUCAUAUUAGGACUUUGCCAAAUAUGACAGGUUCCAAAAAGUGCCUCAACACACUUUGCCAGGAAGAAAUAACUUGCUUUUCUUUUUUCUUUUGAGGCAGGGUCUCACUCCUGUCGCCCAGGCUGGAGUGCCAUGCUGCAAUCAGGGCUCACUGCAGCCUGAACUUCGGGGGCUCAGGUGAUGCUCCCACCACAACCUCCUGCAUAGCUGGUACUACAGGCUCACGCCACCACCACACCGGCUAAUUUUUUAUAUUGUUAGUACAGACAGGGGUUUCGCUGUGUUGCCCAGGCCAGUCUCAAGCUCCUGGGCUCAAGCACUCUGUUUGGGAGCCCUUGGCCUCCCAAAGUGUUGAGACUACAAGCAUGAACCACCAUGCCCAGCCAUGUUUUUCAAAAAAUAAGAAAAAAGGUAAUCAUAAAGUAAUUGAGACUCAUGGUAUGUCAUUCAGCAUUGAUUGGAAAAUAUUGUAACUUCACACUGUAUGUGGAGGCUAGGACAUAAUUCAAAAUUUUACAAAAUAAAUUGAAACCACUUGAAGCAA